CAGUCAACCGAUUGACAAACUAGAAUUAUUUGAAUUCCGUGUGGAAAGAGGUCGGGUUAAUUUCGAGUGUUAUCUGCAAUCUAGAUGUUUAUAAAUCAUUUCAGUCGUUGAUAUAAUAAUUAAAGGUUGACAGAACAUGAAUUAUAUUAUACAAUUUAAAGUGCAUUUCUGUUUAUGCACGCGAACCCGUCUAACGUUAUUGUUAUUUCGCAGUUAUAAAGUAGCAAAUUAUCGUUCCUGAAUAGGUGGCGUCGUGGUAGCCGAUCCUGUUCUUCAACUUCCGGUUUCUGCACUGUGCAACUAUUACAGUUGCAUUUUUAAUUAACGAUGCCAAGUACUUGUUGUUGUGUACCUGGAUGUCAUUUAAGAGGAGGACAUGCAUUUUCAAAUGACUUAAAAAGAAGGAAAAGUUGGAUCAACGCCAUGGCCCAGACGAGAAAACGAUGAAAUCGUGGAGUCCAUCUCAAUCAGCUGUUGUUUCCAAGGCACAUUUUACUGAAAAAGAGUCUUUAAGACUACGUGCAGGAAACUAUUCAUGGGUGCAAACCCACCAUACAGAGACUUAAGUCUACUGCCAUUCCCAGCCUAUUUUCCUGGACCAAGCAAGAGACUGAAUCGUCCGCAAAAAGAAAAAUCAGGGCAGUUUCCUGUGAAAACAAAAGAACUAAACUUGAUGAAUAUUGUAGUAGAAAUCUAGAGGAAAGUUUUGAUUGUAAAGUUGGUUUUCCUGAAGAAGUCAUUCAUACUGCAGACAUGAUUUAUGACUGUCCACCACCAACUGCCGAGCUAAUGUUGAGCUUCACAGAUGGAAUUACGCAAACACCAUCAAUGCCUAUAUUUUCAGCAGAGAAUUUUGAAAUGAAGACACGUGACAUAGCCAUGCAUUUAUAUACCGGUUUAGAGUUGUAACUUGUAUACUAAAUUUUUAUUUGUUUUGACCACACUUGGUCCAGCAGCACAUUGUUUGAAAUACAUAUAUUUUCAAAUUGAUAGGGUGUCAUUUGAAAAUCAGUUUUUUUAUGACUUUGAUGAAAUUGAGGCAUUAUACAACCAACUUUGAACUGUCUAGAUUCUAGAUUGAAACUAGUGUUAAGAAUAUUGUGUAAACAUGGAUUGUUUUUAUGUCUAAACAGUGGCGUGAGGCUAACACUUGGCCAUUUAGUGGUUUAGUCAGGUAUUUUUCGCCAUCCAACUUCAAAUUAAAGUUUCCUACAACUUGGAUUAUUAUUGACAGCACAGAAUAUCCCGUGAUAAAACCUAAAGCUCCUAGAGCUCAGGCAACCUUUUCAUCAUAUAAAAACAGAAACACUGAAAAUACUUGUAUGUUCGACUCCUGGUGGUUUAGUCAACUAUGUCUCUAAUGCAUAUGUUGGUUGUACCAGUGACUGUGAAAUAGUUGAAAGAUGUAGAAUAGUUCAAUUAUGUGAUCCAGGUGACAGUGUGAUGGCAGACAAAGGUUUAAAUGUGCAUGAUUUGUUUGCUCACUUUUUUCAAAAAAAGAAACAGAAUUAGUUCCAAAACUCUUAUACGGGAUAGAAAAGUCUCCAAUUAACACGUGCACAUAGAGCUAAUUAUUGGACUUGGCAAAACAUACAAAAUUCUAAUAAAUCCUAUGAAUGGAACUGAAACAAAACUUUCAUCUGAAAUAACAUUUAGUUGUUUUAUGUUGUGUAAUUUUAGAACUUGUAUUGUGCCAAAGGAUGCAUAAAUAAAAGUGACGCAAUGAA